rnacentral:rRNA from 1 species
GAGGGGCAGCGGGGUUGUAGCAAUACAACUGGCCGGCGACCGGCGCACGGGUGAGUAACACGUAUGUAACCUGCCCUCUGCAGGGGGAUAAGCGGAAGAAAUUCCGUCUAAUACCGCAUAAUACAAUUUGGAGACAUCUCCGGGUUGUCAAAGGAGUGAUCCGGCAGAGGAUGGACAUGCGGCGCAUUAGCUAGUCGGCGGGGUAACGGCCCACCGAGGCUACGAUGCGUAGGGGUUCUGAGAGGAAGGUCCCCCACACUGGUACUGAGACACGGACCAGACUCCUACGGGAGGCAGCAGUGAGGAAUAUUGGUCAAUGGGCGGAAGCCUGAACCAGCCAAGUCGCGUGAGGGAAGACGGUCCUAUGGAUUGUAAACCUCUUUUGCAGGGGAGCAAGGCGCGGUACGUGUACCGCGAAGGAGAGUACCCUGAGAAAAAGCAUCGGCUAACUCCGUGCCAGCAGCCGCGGUAAUACGGAGGAUGCGAGCGUUAUCCGGAUUUAUUGGGUUUAAAGGGUGCGCAGGCGGACUGUUAAGUCAGCGGUAAAAUGUCGGUGCUCAACACCGGCCGGCCGUUGAAACUGGCAGCCUUGAGUGAGCGAGAAGUAUGCGGAAUGCGUGGUGUAGCGGUGAAAUGCAUAGAUAUCACGCAGAACUCCGAUUGCGAAGGCAGCAUACCGGCGCUCAACUGACGCUCAGGCACGAAAGCGUGGGUAUCGAACAGGCUUAGAUACCCUGGUAGUCCACGCAGUAAACGAUGAAUGCUCACUGUCCGGGCCGUUU